UAGGGAAUCUUCGGCAAUGGACGAAAGUCUGACCGAGCAACGCCGCGUGAGUGAAGAAGGUUUUCGGAUCGUAAAACUCUGUUGUUAGAGAAGAACAAGGACGUUAGUAACUGAACGUCCCCUGACGGUAUCUAACCAGAAAGCCACGGCUAACUACUUGCCAGCAGCCGCGGUAAUACGUAGGUGGCAAGCGUUGUCCGGAUUUAUUGGGCGUAAAGCGAGCGCAGGCGGUUUCUUAAGUCUGAUGUGAAAGCCCCCGGCUCAACCGGGGAGGGUCAUUGGAAACUGGGAGACUUGAGUGCAGAAGAGGAGAGUGGAAUUCCAUGUGGAGCGGUGAAAUGCGUAGAUAUAUGGAGGAACACCAGUGGCGAAGGCGGCUCUCUGGUCUGUAACUGACGCUGAGGCUCGAAAGCGUGGGGAGCAAACAGG
rnacentral:rRNA from 1 species